AAAACAGAUUUCAUCUCCUGAUAGUAAGUUUCUGAUGACUGGUUUCAGAAUCUAAUCCCUGGGAAAGAAAAGUAGAAAAGGGGUGUGGAGUAGGCAUUAUCUUGAUGGGAAAAUUUAUAUUUCUCAUUAUUUUGCUCAACUCAACAACAGCAAUGGUGAAGUGUCAUGCGUCUUAAUGUUAUGUAUAAAGUGCCUUUAUUCAGAUCAAUUUGUAGUCCACCUUGUCAUCAUAUGAAAUUUUCAAUUAUUGGACCGAUGCUUCAUAAGUUCUUGAGUUGUGUAAUCACACUUUUGCUGCAUACUUGAACUUUGAUUAGAUACUAUUUUACUUGAUUUUCUGCCUGAGCUAUUCUAUAUUACCCCUUAGAUGCAAUUUUUUUUUUUAUUAUCCCUGAUAUUUCCUUCUUAUCUAAUGCUCAGUAUGAGUUACUGUUAUUAUGACCUUUAGAUAAGUUGCACGAAUUAUCUAAGGAUCAUGAAAUGCAGAACCGCCAUGCAACAUCACGUGACACACUAAUAUUUGGAAAAUCAGUUUAUUUUCAUACAUGUUGAUUGAGAAUUUCUUUUGAACUGUACAGUGCCUUCAUACGUAAUCACUUGUCAUAAUUGUGGUCAUGGUACUGAUU
rnacentral:misc_RNA from 1 species